CCCUUAGAUGUCCUGGGCUGCACGCGCGCUACACUGAUGUGUCCAGUAAGCACCUAACCUCUUCCGAAAGGAACGGGUAACCUUUGCAAAGCACAUCGUGAUGGGGAUAGAUUAUUGCAAUUAUUAGUCUUGAACGAGGAAUUCCUAGUAAGCACAAGUCAUCAGCUUGUGUUGAUUACGUCCCUGCCCUUUGUACACACCGCCCGUCGCUCCUACCGAUUGAAUGUUCCGGUGAGCUCUUCGGACUGCGCGGUCUGCAGUUUCUGCGUUCCGUGCGGAAAGUUGCGCAAACCUUAACAUCUAGAGGAAGGAGAAGUCGUAACA
rnacentral:rRNA from 1 species